UGAGUGGGUCGGGCGGUCGCCGGAUUGAAACACAUCCGGAGGAAAGUCCGAGCAGGAUAGGGCACGGUGGCGGCUAACGGCCGCCCGGGGCGACCCGCGGGAAAGUGCCGCAGAAAAUAUACCGCCGCGGGGGUUUGAAUCCCCCGCGGUAAGGGUGAAAUGGUGCGGUAAGAGCGCACCGCGUCGUCGGUAACGGCGACGGCAGGGCAAACCCCACCGCCUGCAAGACCAAGUAUGCUGCGUGCUCGGCCCGGGCAUCUCGCAGCGGGUAGGUUGCAUGCCGACGGGGAGACCUUUCGGCAGAGCCGGUCGGCGACGGCCGGUCGAGUGUAAUGACCGCCAUCCGCCUUCGGGCGGAGACAGAACUCGGCUUACAGACCCACUCAUUUA
rnacentral:RNase_P_RNA from 1 species